GCUAACUCCGUGCCAGCAGCCGCGGUAAUACGGAGGGUGCAAGCGUUGUCCGGAAUCACUGGGUGUAAAGGGUGUGCAGGUGGGGCAGCAAGUCAGGGGUGAAAGCCCGCGGCUUAACCGCGGAAUUGCCUUUGAUACUGUUGUUCUUGAGUCCUGGAGAGGUCACUGGAAUUCGUGGUGUAGCGGUGAAAUGCGUAGAUAUCACGAGGAACACCAGAGGUGUAGACGGGUGACUGGACAGGUACUGACACUGAGGCACGAAAGCGUGGGGAGCAAACAGGAUUAGAUACCCCAGUAGUC
rnacentral:rRNA from 1 species